rnacentral:rRNA from 1 species
GACGAACGCUGGCGGCGUGCUUAAUACAUGCAAGUCGAGCGAGGUCCAUCUGGUGGCAACACCAGUGAAGGCCGAGCGGCGAACGGGUGAGUAACACGUGAGCAACCUGCCCCGAAGUCUGGAAUAACAUCGGGGAAACCGGGUGCUAAUACCGGAUCGCCCCCACCCUGACCGCAUGAUCGGGUGAGGAAAGAUUUAUCGCUUCGGGAGGGGGCUCGCGGCCUAUCAGCAGUUGGUGGGGGUAACGGCCUACCAAGGCGUCGACGGGUAGCUGGUCUGAGAGGACGACCAGCCACACUGGGACUGAGACACGGCCCAGACUCCUACGGGAGGCAGCAGUAGGGAAUCUUGCGCAAUGGGCGAAAGCCUGACGCA